UCAUUUAAAGAAAGCGUAAUAGCUCACUGGUCGAGUCGGCCUGCGCGGAAGAUGUAACGGGGCUAAACCAUGCACCGAAGCUGCGGCAGCGACACUGUGUGUUGUUGGGUAGGGGAGCGUUCUGUAAGCCUGUGAAGGUGUGUCGUGAGGCAUGCUGGAGGUAUCAGAAGUGCGAAUGCUGACAUAAGUAACGAUAAAGCGGGUGAAAAGCCCGCUCGCCGGAAGACCAAGGGUUCCUGUCCAACGUUAAUCGGGGCAGGGUGAGUCGACCCCUAAGGCGAGGCCGAAAGGCGUAGUCGAUGGGAAACGGGUUAAUAUUCCCGUACUUGGUGUUACUGCGAAGGGGGGACGGAGAAGGCUAUGUUGGCCGGGCGACGGUUGUCCCGGUUUAAGCGUGUAGGUGUGUGUUCCAGGUAAAUCCGGUUCACUUUAACACUGAGGCGUGACGACGAGGCACUACGGUGCUGAAGCAACAAAUGCCCUGCUUCCAGGAAAAGCCUCUAAGCAUCAGGUAACAUCAAAUCGUACCCCAAACCGACACAGGUGGUCAGGUAGAGAAUACCAAGGCGCUUGAGAGAACUCGGGUGAAGGAACUAGGCAAAAUGGUGCCGUAACUUCGGGAGAAGGCACGCUGACACGUAGGUGAAGUGAUUUACUCAUGGAGCUGAAGUCAGUCGAAGAUACCAGCUGGCUGCAACUGUUUAUUAAAAACACAGCACUGUGCAAACACGAAAGUGGACGUAUACGGUGUGACGCCUGCCCGGUGCCGGAAGGUUAAUUGAUGGGGUCAGCGCAAGCGAAGCUCCUGAUCGAAGCCCCGGUAAACGGCGGCCGUAACUAUAACGGUCCUAAGGUAGCGAAAUUCCUUGUCGGGUAAGUUCCGACCUGCACGAAUGGCGUAAUGAUGGCCAGGCUGUCUCCACCCGAGACUCAGUGAAAUUGAACUCGCUGUGAAGAUGCAGUGUACCCGCGGCAAGACGGAAAGACCCCGUGAACCUUUACUAUAGCUUGACACUGAACAUUGAGCCUUGAUGUGUAGGAUAGGUGGGAGGCUUUGAAGUGUGGACGCCAGUCUGCAUGGAGCCGACCUUGAAAUACCACCCUUUAAUGUUUGAUGUUCUAACGUGGACCCGUUACCCGGGUUGCGGACAGUGUCUGGUGGGUAGUUUGACUGGGGCGGUCUCCUCCUAAAGAGUAACGGAGGAGCACGAAGGUUGGCUAAUCCUGGUCGGACAUCAGGAGGUUAGUGCAAUGGCAUAAGCCAGCUUGACUGCGAGCGUGACGGCGCGAGCAGGUGCGAAAGCAGGUCAUAGUGAUCCGGUGGUUCUGAAUGGAAGGGCCAUCGCUCAACGGAUAAAAGGUACUCCGGGGAUAACAGGCUGAUACCGCCCAAGAGUUCAUAUCGACGGCGGUGUUUGGCACCUCGAUGUCGGCUCAUCACAUCCUGGGGCUGAAGUAGGUCCCAAGGGUAUGGCUGUUCGCCAUUUAAAGUGGUACGCGAGCUGGGUUUAGAACGUCGUGAGACAGUUCGGUCCCUAUCUGCCGUGGGCGCUGGAGAACUGAGGGGGGCUGCUCCUAGUACGAGAGGACCGGAGUGGACGCAUCACUGGUGUUCGGGUUGUCAUGCCAAUGGCACUGCCCGGUAGCUAAAUGCGGAAGAGAUAAGUGCUGAAAGCAUCUAAGCACGAAACUUGCCCCGA
rnacentral:rRNA from 2 species